AGGCCCUUGUUGGAGAAGCAGGGCACGUGCAAAACCUCUCUCUUCUCAACGUCUCCAUGUUUGCACGUGCUCUUCUUCUCCAACAUAGGCUU
rnacentral:pre_miRNA from 15 species